GACGAACGCUGGCGGCGUGCUUAACACAUGCAAGUCGAACGGAAAGGCCCCUUUGGGGGUACUCGAGUGGCGAACGGGUGAGUAACACGUGAGUAACCUGCCCUUGACUUCGGGAUAACUUCAGGAAACUGGGGCUAAUACCGGAUAGGAAUCCUUGCUGCAUGUGGGGGUUGGAAAGCUUCGGCGGUUUUGGAUGGACUCGCGGCUUAUCAGCUUGUUGGUGGGGUAGUGGCUUACCAAGGCUUUGACGGGUAGCCGGCCUGAGAGGGCGACCGGCCACAUUGGGACUGAGAUACGGCCCAGACUCCUACGGGAGGCAGCAGUGGGGAAUAUUGCACAAUGGGCGGAAGCCUGAUGCAGCAACGCCGCGUGCGGGAUGACGGCCUUCGGGUUGUAAACCGCUUUCAGCAGGGGCGAAGCUUGUGGUGACGGUACCUGCAGAAGAAGCACCGGCUAACUACGUG
rnacentral:rRNA from 1 species